rnacentral:lncRNA from 1 species
UUCCCCGGCCUGGGCGGUGCGGACGAGGCCUGAGGCGGCGGCGCGAGGCAGCAUGGUCUGAGCCGGUGAACAUGGACUUUUCUCGGCUGCACACAUACACCCCACCCCAGUGUGUGCCAGAGAACACUGGCUAUACCUACGCACUCAGUUCUAGUUAUUCUUCGGAUGCUCUGGAUUUUGAGACUGAACACAGAUUGGAACCUGUCUUUGACUCUCCAAGGAUGUCCCGCCGUAGCUUGCGCCUGAUCACAACAACAGCUGCAUACAGCAGUGGGGACGGCCAGACUGUUGACACUCACAUCAGCACCAGCAGGGCCACCCCGGCCAAGGGGAGAGAAACCAGUCAAACAGAGAAGUGCAAGCAAGCCAGCUUUUAGUAUCAACCACCUGUCAGGGAAGGGCUUGUCCUCAAGCACAAGCCAUGACAGCUCUUGCAGCCUGCGGAGUGCCACGGUGCUGCGGCAUCCUGUGCUAGACGAGUCUCUGAUU